rnacentral:rRNA from 1 species
CCUACGGGAGGCAGCAGUGGGGAAUAUUGCGCAAUGGGCGAAAGCCUGACGCAGCGACGCCGCGUGAGGGAUGAAGGUCUUCGGAUCGUAAACCUCUGUCAGCAGGGAAGAACGGUCACUGUGCUAAUCAGCAGUGAAUUGACGGUACCUGCAAAGGAAGCACCGUCUAACUCCGUGCCAGCAGCCGAGGUAAUACGGAGGGUGCGAGCGUUAAUCGGAAUUACUGGGCGUAAAGCGCUCGUAGGCGGUAUGUCAAGUCAAGGGUGAAAUCCCCGCGCUCAACGUGGGAACUGCCUUUGAAACUGGCAAACUGGAGUGUGUGAGAGGAUAGUGGAAUUCGAGGUGUAGGAGUGAAAUGCGUAGAUAUCUGGAGGAACAUCAGUGGCGAAGGCGACUAUCUGGCACAUAACUGACGCUGAGGAGCGAAAGCGUGGGUAGCAAACAGGAUUAGAUACCCGAGUAGUC